rnacentral:rRNA from 1 species
GAAACUGCGUACAGCUCAUUAUAUCAGUAAUAGUUUAUUUGAUAGUACCUUACUACAUGGAUAACCGUGGUAAUUCUAGAGCUAAUACAUGCUGAAAAUCCCGACUUCGGAAGGGAUGUAUUUAUUAGAUACAAAACCAAUGCCCUUCGGGGCUCUCUUGGUGAUUCAUGAUAACUUCUCGAAUCGCACGGCCCCGCGCCGGCGAUGGUUCAUUCAAAUUUCUUCCCUAUCAACUUUCGAUGCUACGGUAUUGUCCUAGCAUGGUUGCAACGGGUGACGGAGGGUUAGGGCUCGACCCCGGAGAAGGAGCCUGAGAAACGGCUACUACAUCCAAGGAAGGCAGCAGGCGCGCAAAUUACCCAAUCCCGAUACGGGGAGGUAGUGACGAUAAAUACCGAUACAGGGCUCUUUUGGGUCCUGUAAUUGGAAUGAGUACAAUUCAAAUCCCUUAACGAGGAACAAUUGGAGGGCAAGUCUGGUGCCAGCAGCCAAUC